UUUCAAUCAUAAAAGGUGGCUUUUAGCUACCACUUACAGAUGGACCCGCGGCGCAUUAGCUAGUUGGUGAGGUAACGGCUCACCAAGGCGACGAUGCGUAGCCGACCUGAGAGGGUGAUCGGCCACACUGGGACUGAGACACGGCCCAGACUCCUACGGGAGGCAGCAGUAGGGAAUCUUCCGCAAUGGACGAAAGUCUGACGGAGCAACGCCGCGUGAGUGAUGAAGGUUUUCGGAUCGUAAAACUCUGUUGUUAGGGAAGAACAAGUACCGUUCGAAUAGGGCGGUACCUUGACGGUACCUAACCAGAAAGCCACGGCUAACUACGUGCCAGCAGCCGCGGUAAUACGUAGGUGGCAAGCGUUGUCCGGAAUUAUUGGGCGUAAAGCGCGCGCAGGCGGUUUCUUAAGUCUGAUGUGAAAGCCCCCGGCUCAACCGGGGAGGGUCAUUGGAAACUGGGGAACUUGAGUGCAGAAGAGGAGAGUGGAAUUCCACGUGUAGCGGUGAAAUGCGUAGAGAUGUGGAGGAACACCAGUGGCGAAGGCGACUCUCUGGUCUGUAACUGACGCUGAGGCGCGAAAGCGUGGGGAGCGAACAGGAUUAGAUACCCUGGUAGUCCACGCCGUAAACGAUGAGUGCUAAGUGUUAGAGGGUUUCCGCCCUUUAGUGCUGCAGCAAACGCAUUAAGCACUCCGCCUGGGGAGUACGGUCGCAAGACUGAAACUCAAAGGAAUUGACGGGGGCCCGCACAAGCGGUGGAGCAUGUGGUUUAAUUCGAAGCAACGCGAAGAACCUUACCAGGUCUUGACAUCCUCUGACAACCCUAGAGAUAGGGCUUCCCCUUCGGGGGCAGAGUGACAGGUGGUGCAUGGUUGUCGUCAGCUCGUGUCGUGAGAUGUUGGGUUAAGUCCCGCAACGAGCGCAACCCUUGAUCUUAGUUGCCAGCAUUCAGUUGGGCACUCUAAGGUGACUGCCGGUGACAAACCGGAGGAAGGUGGGGAUGACGUCAAAUCAUCAUGCCCCUUAUGACCUGGGCUACACACGUGCUACAAUGGGCAGAACAAAGGGCAGCGAAGCCGCGAGGCUAAGCCAAUCCCACAAAUCUGUUCUCAGUUCGGAUCGCAGUCUGCAA
rnacentral:rRNA from 1 species